GUAGUGUUAUGGUGCCUCUCUUUAUGUAGUGUUGGGGUGUCUCUCUUUAUGUAGUGUUGUGGUGUCUCUCUUUAUGUAGUGUAGUGUUGUCUCUCUUUAUGUAGUGUUUUCUCUCUUUAUGUAGUGUUUUCUCUCUUUAUGUAGUGUUGUGUUGUCUCUCUUUAUGUAGUGUUGUGGGGUCUCUCUUUAUGUAGUGUUGUGGGGUCUCUCUUUAUGUAGUCUUGUCUCUCUUUAUGUAGUGUUGUGUUGUCUCUCUUUAUGUAGUGUUGUCUCUCUUUAUGUAGUGUUGUGGUGUCUCUC
ensembl:lncRNA